rfam:Nicotiana attenuata strain TT chromosome 4, whole genome shotgun sequence.
UGGACAGAUUAUUGUAUUCGACUGUAUUCACGGCGUGAAACAGGGGAUUACACUGUUUUUACACGGAAAGUGAAUCAAUUAACAUAAUAGACUCCU